rnacentral:rRNA from 1 species
GCGCGAAAACUUUGCAAUGCGGGAAACCGUGACAAGGGAACUCCGAGUGCCCGUAAAUUCGGGCUGUCCGCCAGUGUAAAAAACUGGUGAAGAAAGGGCCGGGCAAGACCGGUGCCAGCCGCCGCGGUAAUACCGGCGGCUCGAGUGGUGGCCACUAUUACUGGGCUUAAAGCGUUCGUAGCUGGCUUGUUAAGUCUCUGGGGAAAUCUUCCGGCUUAACCGGAAGGCGUCUCAGGGAUACUGGCAGGCUAGGGACCGGUAGAGGUGAGGGGUACUCCAGGGGUAGGAGUGAAAUCCUGUAAUCCUUGGGGGACCACCUGUGGCGAAGGCGCCUCACCAGAACGGCUCCGACAGUGAGGAACGAAAGCUGGGGGAGCAAACCGGAUUAGAUACCCGGGUAGUCCCAGCUGUAAACGAUGCGCGUUAGGUGUAUCGGUGACCACGAGUCACCGAGGUGCCGAAGAGAAAUCGUGAAACGUGCCGCCUGGGAAGUACGGUCGCAAGGCUGAAACUUAAAGGAAUUGGCGGGGGA